rnacentral:rRNA from 1 species
GCGUUAAUCGGAUUUACUGGGCGUAAAGCGUGCGCAGGCGGUUGUGCAAGACAGAUGUGAAAUCCCCGGGCUUAACCCGGGAACUGCCUUUGUGACUGCACAGCUAGAGUACGGUAGAGGGGGAUGGAAUUCCGCGUGUAGCAGUGAAAUGCGUAGAUAUGCGGAGGAACACCGAUGGCGAAGGCAAUCCCCUGGGCCUGUACUGACGCUCAUGCACGAAAGCGUG